GAUGAACGCUGGCGGCGUGCCUAAUACAUGCCAGUAGAACGCUGAAGGAGGAGCUUGCUCCUCUGGAUGAGUUGCGAACGGGUGAGUAACGCGUAGGUAACCUGCCUGGUAGCGGGGGAUAACUAUUGGAAACGAUAGCUAAUACCGCAUGACAACAGUUAUUGCAUGAUAACUGUUUAAAAGGGGCAACUGCUCCACUACCAGAUGGACCUGCGUUGUAUUAGCUAGUUGGUGAGGUAACGGCUCACCAAGGCGACGAUACAUAGCCGACCUGAGAGGGUGAUCGGCCACACUGGGACUGAGACACGGCCCAGACUCCUACGGGAGGCAGCAGUAGGGAAUCUUCGGCAAUGGACGGAAGUCUGACCGAGCAACGCCGCGUGAGUGAAGAAGGUUUUCGGAUCGUAAAGCUCUGUUGUAAGAGAAGAACGAGUGUGAGAGUGGAAAGUUCACACUGUGACGGUAUCUUACCAGAAAGGGACGGCUAACUACGUG
rnacentral:rRNA from 1 species